UACGAAGGGGGCUAGCGUUGUUCGGAAUUACUGGGCGUAAAGCGCACGUAGGCGGGUCGUUAAGUCAGGGGUGAAAUCCCGGAGCUCAACUCCGGAACUGCCUUUGAUACUGGCGAUCUAGAGAUCGAGAGAGGUGAGUGGAAUUCCGAGUGUAGAGGUGAAAUUCGUAGAUAUUCGGAAGAACACCAGUGGCGAAGGCGGCUCACUGGCUCGAUACUGACGCUGAGGUGCGAAAGCGUGGGGAGCAAACGGG
rnacentral:rRNA from 1 species